rnacentral:tRNA from 1 species
GAAGGAAGCAGCUUAAACUAACAAAGCAUAACACUGAAAAUGUUAAGAUAGACCCGUUCUCCCCUUCA